UACGGAGGGUGCAAGCGUUAUCCGGAUUCACUGGGUUUAAAGGGUGCGCAGGAGGGCAGGUAAGUCAGUGGUGAAAUCUUCGAGCUUAACUCGGAAACUGCCGUUGAUACUAUCUGUCUUGAAUCCCGUGGAGAUGAGCGGAAUAUGUCAUGUAGCGGUGAAAUGCUUAGAUAUGACAUAGAACACCAAUUGCGAAGGCAGCUCACUACUCAAUUAUUGACUCUGAGGCACGAAAGCGUGGGGAUCAAACAGG
rnacentral:rRNA from 1 species